ACGGAAGGCAGCAGUGGGGAAUAUUGGGCAAUGGGCGAAAGCCUGACCCAGCAACGCCGCGUGAGGGAAGAAGGUUUUCGGAUUGUAAACCUCUGUCCUAAGGGAAGAAGGAAGUGACGGUACCUUAGGAGGAAGCCCCGGCUAACUACGUGCCAGCAGCCGCGGUAAUACGUAGGGGGCGAGCGUUGUCCGGAAUGACUGGGCGUAAAGGGCGUGUAGGCGGCGCUGUAAGUCCGGAGUGAAAGUCCUGCUUUCAAGGUGGGAAUUGCUUUGGAGACUGCAGAGCUUGAGUACGGAAGAGGUAAGUGGAAUUCCCGGUGUAGCGGUGAAAUGCGUAGAGAUCGGGAGGAACACCAGUGGCGAAGGCGACUUACUGGGCCGUAACUGACGCUGAGGCGCGAAAGCGUGGGGAGCGAACAGGAUUAGAUACCCUGGUA
rnacentral:rRNA from 1 species